UUCUUCUUUGCUAAUAACAAAUGAAGAGAAGAGACACAAAUGGGGCAAUGUAUGAUAACCAACUAUAUAUAGAGGGGGUCAAAGCUAAAAAAAAAAGGGGGCAGGUAAAUGUAUAAAGCUUGUAAAAUAUUAUUAAGAAGUUAGUAUAUAUAUAUACUAGCCGUACUACCCGUGACUCCGGCACUACGUACGUACAUAGGGGAGGAGAGAUUGUCGGCGGCUCGGCACUAGAGAACAAAGGAGGCAAAUAGCGAGCUCGAGAGGAGGAACAACGGAGAAGGAUCUGAGAGUGAGAAAGAGCAAUUUUUUAUCCUUUGAAGUUAAAAGGGAUAUAAUGGACGGUGAUAUAUAUAUAUAUAUAUAUAUAUAUAUAUAUAUAUAUUUGUAAUACCAAUGUUAAUUGAUGGUCAAUUAUAUGCUACUAACUCUUG
rnacentral:lncRNA from 1 species